rnacentral:rRNA from 1 species
CCUACGGGAGGCAGCAGUGGGGAAUAUUGGACAAUGGGGGGAACCCUGAUCCAGCCAUGCCGCGGGUGUGAAGAAGGCCCUCGGGUUGUAAAGCACUUUCAGUGAGGAAGAACGCCUGGUGGUUAAUACCCAUCAGGAAAGACAUCACUCACAGAAGAAGCACCGGCUAACUCCGUGCCAGCAGCCGCGGUAAUACGGAGGGUGCGAGCGUUAAUCGGAAUUACUGGGCGUAAAGCGCGCGUAGGUGGCUUGAUAAGCCGGUUGUGAAAGCCCCGGGCUCAACCUGGGAACGGCAUCCGGAACUGUCAAGCUAGAGUGCAGGAGAGGAAGGUAGAAUUCCCGGUGUAGCGGUGAAAUGCGUAGAGAUCGGGAGGAAUACCAGUGGCGAAGGCGGCCUUCUGGACUGACACUGACACUGGGGUGCGAAAGCGUGGGUAGCAAACAGGAUUAGAUACCCUUGUAGUC